ACGGCUCAGUAACACGUGGACAACCUACCCUGAGGUCGGGGAUAAACCCGGGAAACUGGGUAUAAUACCCGAUAGAUCUAGAUUGCUGGAAUGCUUUUAGGUCUAAAGUUCCGACGCCUCAGGAUGGGUCUGCGGCCUAUCAGGGUAGUAGUGGGUGUAAAGUACCUACUAGCCCACGACGGGUACGGGUUGUGAGAGCAAGAGCCCGGAGAUGGAUUCUGAGACACGAAUCCAGGCCCUACGGGGUGCAGCAGGCGCGAAACCUUUACAAUGCUGGCAACAGCGAUAAGGGGACCUCGAGUGCUACGAUACAAUCGUGGCUGUCUAGUUGCCUAAAAAGCAAUUGAUAGCAAGGGCCGGGCAAGACCGGUGCCAGCCGCCGCGGUAACACCGGCGGCUCGAGUGGUAACCGCUAUUAUUGGGUCUAAAGGGUCUGUAGCCGGCUUAGUUAGUCUCUUGAGAAAUCUGGCCGCUCAACGGUCAGGCGUUCAGGGGAUACUGCUAAAGCUCGAGACCGGGAGAGGUGAGAGGUACUUCAGGGGUAGGGGUGAAAUCUUGUAAUCCUUGAAGGACCACCAGUGGCGAAGGCGUCUCACCAGAACGGAUCUGACGGCAAGGGACGAAAGCUAGGGGCACGGACCGGAUUAGAUACCCGGGUAGUCCUAGCCGUAAACGAUACUCGCUAGGUGUCGGCCACGGUGCGACCGUGGUCGGUGCCGUAGGGAAGCCGUGAAGCGAGCCACCUGGGAAGUACGGCCGCAAGGCUGAAACUUAAAGGAAAUUGGCGGGGGAGCAC
rnacentral:rRNA from 1 species